rnacentral:rRNA from 1 species
AGAGUUUGAUCCUGGCUCAGAUUGAACGCUGGCGGCAUGCCUUACACAUGCAAGUCGAACGGCAGCACGGACUUCGGUCUGGUGGCGAGUGGCGAACGGGUGAGUAAUAUAUCGGAACGUACCCUGGAGUGGGGGAUAACGCAGCGAAAGUUGCGCUAAUACCGCAUACGAUCUACGGAUGAAAGUGGGGGCUCGCAAGACCUCAUGCUCGUGGAGCGGCCGAUAUCUGAUUAGCUAGUUGGCAGGGUAAAAGCCUACCAAGGCUUCGAUCAGUAGCUGGUCUGAGAGGACGACCAGCCACACUGGGACUGAGACACGGCCCAGACUCCUACGGGAGGCAGCAGUGGGGAAUUUUGGACAAUGGGGGCAACCCUGAUCCAGCAAUGCCGCGUGAGUGAAGAAGGCCUUCGGGUUGUAAAGCUCUUUUGUCAGGGAAGAAACGGUGAAGGCUAAUAUCCUUUGCUAAUGACGGUACCUGAAGAA